rnacentral:rRNA from 1 species
GGAGUUAGCCGGUGCUUCUUCUGUGAGUGAUGUCCUUCCUGCCGGCUAUUAACCCGCAGGCCUUCUUCCUCACUGAAAGUGCUUUACAACCCGAAGGCCUUCUUCACACACGCGGCAUGGCUGGAUCAGGGUUGCCCCCAUUGUCCAAUAUUCCCCACUGCUGCCUCCCGUAGGAGUCUGGGCCGUGUCUCAGUCCCAGUGUGGCUGAUCAUCCUCUCAGACCAGCUACGGAUCGUCGCCUUGGUGAGCCGUUACCUCACCAACCAGCUAAUCCGACAUAGGCUCAUCCGAUAGCGCGAGGCCCGAAGGUCCCCCGCUUUCCCCCGUAGGGCGUAUGCGGUAUUAGCCUGGGUUUCCCCAGGUUAUCCCCCACUACCGGGCAGAUUCCUAUGCAUUACUCACCCGUCCGCCGCUCGCCACCAGGGAGCAAGCUCCCCGUGCUGCCGCUCGACUUGCAUGUGUUAGGCCUGCCGCCAGCGUUCAAUCUGAGCUAGAAUCGAACCCUGA